AUUGAUUGGAAGGAGUUCGAAGGAGAAUUCGAUUGUCAACAGCGACCUGGCAUCAACUCCCCCAAGCCCAUUCAUCUGUAGCAGCAGAAAAAACAGUUACGUGAACUGUCACACCCAACUCUACUGUUAAUUUAAGGAUGCUUCAGUGCUACUGCAACAAUCUCCACCCAGCCGAGGGCAAGAGGCUCAUUUUGAUUGGCAGCAAGGGUACUCCCUAUCUAUUAGUUCAAGACGACCGCCAAGUGGAAAGCUUUGACCUACAAGCAGAUUCCAAGUUUCGCCAUCCUGCCCAGCUGCCUAGAAUAGACGACACUGACUCUUUUGUCGGGGUGAGUCAAUCUGUGUGGGUGUGAAUGCAUUAGCCCUUCACAACAGAAUUAUGCCCCUAGACACCCCCGCUUUGCUUUCAAAUAUUGUGUGAUAGGUUCCCGCGGUUGUGUUUAGAUCACUUCCGGGCAAUGAAUCGCCAUAAGAGAAGAUGAAUGGUGCCCA
ensembl:lncRNA